CGUUUUGUACUUUUCGUUUCGCUAACUCUCGUUCUUGACGUUUGGUUUGUUUCGUCGUCGCAUCAACACGUUUGACGACAAAAUAUUUUUAAGAUGAGUAUUUGAAACUAGUUUAAAAUGAAUUAAUAUUAGAUAAAGAACAAGAACUUAACGCCCUUUAAAAAGCAUUCUUUGUUACCUGUGAAUGUUUACAUAUUACAACAAGUUUACGUGUCACGGACGUGUUCUAUUUUUUUUUGUGUCGACGAGUGAACAAGUUUUCAAAAUUGUGUGUUUCCUGACAUCACAACACUAGUAUUAAGUUUGCAAGACCUUGAUUAUUCAGAUUUUCUUUUGAAAACGUCGUGUGAAGAAAUAGGACAAAAGAAGACGCGGUUAUGAUCGACUCGUCGAGAAAUAAUACAAUGAAUCUAUCUCACGCGGGCUCUCACAAGCUGAAUAGUUAGAAAUUAUC
rnacentral:lncRNA from 1 species